rnacentral:lncRNA from 1 species
AGCCUAAUUGAUACUUCCCCACCCUGCCCUCCCUCAACUAACUUCAGGGCUACCCUAGGCACAAAAAAAAAUAAAUGAAGUAUAAAUUUAUUUUUGCCCUCAAAAAGACUUUAACAAUAACUUUUUACAACAUAAAAUGAGCAGCUGUGGCGCAGGGGUUAGAGUUCUGGCUCAGAACCCAGAGGUUCAAGGUUUGACGCCAGCUCUAGCCCAACAAGUGACAUUGGUACAGAAGAAGGUGUGAACUUCUAGUUAAAUGCUCUCCCGCAGUGCUCUGUGAUAAGACUAUAACGAUUUCUGGGAGCACCAAAAAAAUAUCAAGAUAUAGCUAAUUUUAUCAUAAGUUAGCAAUAAAUUUUAUGCUGACUCAGCAUAUAAACUUUACUUGAAAGGCUGUAUUUAGUAAAGUCAAAAAAUGCAAUAAUAUAUUUUUUAAUAAUAGUUAUGUUUGAUAACUAUAUUGUAAGUUAAAACAAUGCCUAAAAAAUUAUCAUGGUGACAUCAGCAUUUGACCAUCAAAAUACCCCAAAAUAUAUUCCUUUAUUAUCUAAUUUACUGUAAUUAAGGUGGUUAAAAAAUUUUCUAGAUUAGGUUUCUUAAAAUGAAUACAUUGAAAUUUAAAUAUUGAAAUGAUUUUAAUUUACUAUUCCAUUAAUAAAAAUUUAUUGUUUCAUUGACAAAAGAAAUUUUAUUAAUAAUUCUUUGUUUUUAUGUUAUUUAUAAUCUGAUGCAAGAAACCUGUGUUUCUUGAAUAAAAAAAAAAUCAUUCUUAGUUUAGAAUUUAGAAAGAACCAAUGCUGCUUAAAAAUCAAACUAUAUACUAAUACAGUAAUUUACCAACAUACAAUGAUGCUUAAUUGAUGUCCUUUCAUGUAGAUCCUUUGGUGAUCCUUUACACUGAUCCUUAGUUCUUUACUGUGAUAAAAAAUAAAAACACUUACUCAUAAACACCUUUUUCGAUUUAAAAUACACUAACUAAAACUAUUUUAAAAAUAAAAAAUUGAACUUGAUUGUGAUCUAUGUUUUCACACUUUAAAAACAUACCACAUAAUAAUUGUUAUUUAUUUUAAAUAGCAAAAAAUUGGAAAUGAAGUUUAUAAAAGAACUUUUUUAAAUAUGUCCAAAUCCAAAUAACUAAAACUUGACACACACAUAUAGGUACGCGUAAAUCUGUGUUUUACGGAACCGAAUUUUGUGCUAAAAUUCUGUGCCACGUUUUUUGAACUUUUUUUUAGGUAGCGUCAGGCGAACUUUAUUUUGUGGUGUUUCUUUACAGAAACAUAACUAAACUUAGAGUAUUUUUGGAAAAAAGAACAGUUAAACUUGAUUUUUGUGUAACAUUUAUGUGUGGUUGGUUAGUUUUGUAUUGACUUUAAAUAUAUUAAAAACUUGGUUGUUGUUCUCAGAUGAAAUUAUUGUCGAAGAAAUGCAUAGAUAGUUUGCAAACCUACCCAGAUAGUUUUUUACAUGUAUUUUUUAACCACCUACCAAAUUUCAUUGAAAAAUAUUAUUGAGCAGAUAGCCUAUAAAAUUGAGCAGUUUUGGUACCUUAUUUCUGUUUUUCUGUUUCCGAAGUGGGUGGUAAGAGGGGGUACGGAACAAGUUGAGUUUUAUUAGGUUAAUUUGGUGAUAUAACUAUGAAGAGGUUAUAAAGUAAUUUACCAGUUAAUAUCUAACAUUGUUUGAAUAAUUACAACUGACUUAGGUCAUAACAGUUUGAGGCAGAACCAUUUACCUCUACAUUUCCAAAGUUCAACACAAUAAGUUUUUAGUUACUAACACAAAAUAAUAACACUUCAUCAUGGUUUUAAUUGAAGAAAAUAUCAACUAUCUUCUUCUAAUAUUUUUUAUAAUAACAUGAACUUUAAUUAACAGUUAAAAUUAAUUUUAUAUAUAUAUAUAUAUACAUAUAUAAAAUCUGUGUUAGUGCAAUAACACUCUUUUAAGCUAUCAUAAUACUCAUGGUAUUAUAGCAUUAUUAUAUUUAAAAAAAAAAUGCCUAAAAGCAAAAAGUGCCCAAAAAAAUCAGUUUUUUAUUUUAUUUUUUGUUUUUCUUUUAUGUAAAUUGAACCUUAUUUAUUCACUUAUAAGUAACUCCUUCAUAUUAACCUUAAGCUUAUUUAAAUCGAACAGGUGACAGGGAAAAUGCUUUUAAAUAUUCUUUAAAUAACUUUCGCACUGUUUUCCCAUAUUAUUUUAACCUUUUUUAUGUAAUCUUUAGUUCGAUCUGCACGUCCUAUUUCAGGUAAAUUUAUAAGUUAUCAUUUUUCAAACCAAAAGCAUAUUGCUUAGUUUUCUUUUCUCGCAGCUUUUCUAUAAUAAUAUAAUAUUAUAUUAAAUAAUUGAUAUAUAUAAUAUAAUAUUAAAUAAUUUUUUUUUAAUCUUUCUUAUGUAAAAUUUAGUCCCAUCUACAACUCCACCCACAAGUAAGUGUAUUAAUUAGGACUUUUUAAAAUGAGUAUAGAUUACGUAAUAAUGUGUUUUUCUUGUUUAUCGUAUCUUUUUUUAUAUAGCAAUAUAAGUUUAUAUAUGUGUAAUAUAAUAUAGUGGAAUUUUUUAUCUUCUCAUAUUUCUUUUAUGUAAUAUUUAGUAUUAUCAACAACUGCCUCCACUGGUAAGUUUAUUAGUCAGAAUUUUUAACAAUCUUUAUAGUCUACAUGCCAAAUCAAUGUUUGAUUCGUUUGUUGCAUUAUUGUGUCAUUUUUUUAACUUUAGUUUCAUCUGCUACUGCUAUCGCUAGUGAUCCAAUAUUGAAGUUAAUUCAAGAAAUUCCUUAAAUUUUAUUGAUUUCAUUGAAAUUGAAAAAUUAACAGUUGAUUGCUAUAUUUCUAGUUACAGGUAACAAUGGGCCCAAAAAGCAAAUUUUUUUUUUUUUUUUUUAUGGUGCAGUUAAAGAGUAUUUAGAUACACAAUUCUUAUUACCUGCUGAAACAUACAGUUGCUGUAAAAAUAG